rnacentral:snoRNA from 1 species
CUGCGUAAUGGAUGAACAGGUCACAUAUAUUCAAUUUAUCCAUCUGAUCACUUUGCCGGUCAUUUUUCAAUAUACUGCUUAUCAUUAUAGGGUGGAACCUUU